GACGAACCGUGCGAACGUUGUUCGGAUUCACUGGGCUUAAAGGGCGCGUAGGCGGGCGGUCAAGUCAGGGGUGAAAUCUUUCGGCUCAACCGGAAAAGUGCCUUUGAUACUGGCCGUCUCGAGGGAGGUAGGGGCAUGCGGAACUUCCGGUGGAGCGGUGAAAUGCGUAGAUAUCGGGAGGAACACCUGUGGCGAAAGCGGCUCACUGGACCAUUACUGACGCUGAUGCACGAAAGCUAGGGGAGCAAACAGG
rnacentral:rRNA from 1 species